rnacentral:lncRNA from 1 species
UUUGUAGGAAGGAAACUUGGCGGAGGCAGGAGGCUUGGAGGAGAGGCCGCUUUAAAGGAUGGGCGAGAUGAUAAGGAUGACACGGCAAGCUGCCCGGGUAUUGGCAGCAAGGGCGAGUGCCGGAGUUCUCUGGCCGCGUGGCGGCGGGGUCAUGCCGCCCGAGGCUUUGUCCAACUGGGGGCGAGGAGGGGCGUGGCUCGCAAGGGGCUACACG